rnacentral:rRNA from 1 species
ACCUACAGCCAAACCACCCUAAACGCAUUCGAUCUCUACUGAUCUUGAGAGUAAAGCAGGGUCAGGCCUGGUUAGUAUUUGAAUGGGACAGCACUCGGGAAUACUAGGUGCUGUAGGCA